rnacentral:rRNA from 1 species
UACGGAGGGGGGCUAGCGUUGUUCGGAAUUACUGGGCGUAAAGCGCACGUAGGCGGCUUUGUAAGUUAGAGGUGAAAGCCCAGGGCUUAACCCUGGAAUUGCCUUUAAGACUGCAUCGCUAGAAUCGUGGAGAGGUGAGUGGAAUUCCGAGUGUAGAGGUGAAAUUCGUAGAUAUUCGGAAGAACACCAGUGGCGAAGGCGACUCACUGGACACGUAUUGACGCUGAGGUGCGAAAGCGUGGGGAGCAAACAGG